AAGUCGUAACAAGGUUUCCGUAGGUGAACCUGCGGAAGGAUCAUUACAAGGUUUAACUGUCGUUUUGCCCUCGGGCAAAUUCGGCAGACCACGAUUCAUCCCUAUGUGCAAUCAUCGAAACAAAGGCCUUGGCGUGAGCCAGGUUUUUAUUUUUUCAAACUCGCUUUAAAUUUUUGCCUGAAUAUACGAUUGUAAAUAAUCAAAAUACAACUUUCAACAACGGAUCUCUUGGCUCUC
rnacentral:misc_RNA from 1 species